rnacentral:lncRNA from 1 species
CUCUCCCCGGCCAGUCACGGCGUUCGAGGGCGGCCGCCGUGAGGCUGGUCUCUAGAGAUAGGUGCGCUGAUCAGGGCACCGCCAGAGGCGAGAAGCAGUCACCUGGUUUCCAGGGACCCUGUUGGUGUACUUCUCGAGGUAAACUUCCUCUUUCCUCGGGCAGUCCCUCUAGCCAUCUAGCCUAAUUCUCCCCCUGCCCAGCAAGAACUCACUGCCCGUCCCUUUGGGUAAAUUUCCCGAUGCCUCUUUCCAAACUCCCCUUGGGGGCACUGAGUCCUCCACCUUCCGGGGAGAAAGAGGGGAUGCGCCGGAAGGGAAACAUAACUCCUGACCUAGGCUGUGGCUGCCCUGAAAGAGCCACCCCCUCUCUGCGCCUCCGUCCUGUCAUCUGGAAAACGGGCUGAUGGCUAGAACGCCUGACUAGCGGCCAGCAUUUAUACAACAGCCAGCGGGCCCACCUGAGUGAAGGGCGCCACCUGGAGGCUCCCAGUCCGCUCCGAACUUGCAGCAGCAGUUCGGUCCCAAAGGGGGCGCAGCAGCUCACACAACUAAGGGACCAAGAAGGAAAAAACCCAUCUUUCAGUUUAUUGAAGGAGGAAAAGGGGGUGGGGGGGCAAUAAAAUGCUUUUGCUUCGUUUAUAAAGAGCGAGAUUUCAGGAGGCCCCGUCUCAAGAAGGGGGGCACCUCUCCCCCCAACUACAAGCAGCAGCAAAGCCAAGCCAAGGAGGGGAGAGGGAAACUAGAGGGGUCAAGGGACCCCCCAAACACCCCCUCGGACAGAAGCCACAAGCUUUCUCCCCCCACCCUCAAUGCAUCUACCCCAGGGGGCCCAUCUGGGAUAAGGAAGGGGGUAUGUACACAGGGAGGGGAGGCACUGGGCUGGGUGGGGGAGGGAAUAAUUUAUCCGCAGGAGCGGUAGGUAGCAAGGGGGUGGGGGUGGGCAGUAGACUGAUGGCAGUGGUGGCCUAGGGGUCCCGUUCUUUCUUAACCUUGAUGUCUCCAGCAAGGAUGGUGGCGAUCUCACCCUGCAUGAAGGCCCAGGGGACGGAGGAGCCCACUAGCGGGCACUUGUCUCCACUGGGGCAGUACACCUCCCCAGCAGGGCCCUGUGCCUUGAUGAACUCCCGUGAGCAGGGAAAGCAAAACUUGUGUCCGGGCACUGAGGGGCACUGGACGAAGUGGGUAUCUUCCAGCCGCUCCCUGCACAGGGUACAGCACAGGGGGGCCCCAGGGGUCGCUCCAGUACCACUACCACCCCCGCUAACUGCUUCUGCCCCUGCAGUGGGGCUAACUUCUGCCUCACCGUUGCGGGCCACUAGACGAUGCUGGGCUGGAGGCUGGGCUGUGGAAGAGGCUGCCGGGCUGGCCCCCCCUGCACGCACAGGGCCGCCACCCCCGGCAGGGUCCUUGGGGGAGUGGCCCAGGGCUUCGGCCACGUUCUUCAGAGCGGCGAUGGGUGAGGGCACACCAGGGGUGUCAUUGGAGUAUGGGCCACCGGGUGCCACCCAGUGUCGCUGCUGCUGCUCCUCCGUGGUCAUCUUCCCAGCGGCCUCACCCUCAGGUUCAUAUUCGAGGUACUUGAAGCCUGAUGAGGCCAGUGCCUUGCCUGGCUCCCGCAGAGCAUCAUGAAACAUCUGACGAGCCACGGCCAGGACUCCUGCAUACACGUUGCCAGAACCACAGGGGUAUUCGGU